rnacentral:ncRNA from 1 species
UUUGUGGUUUUCUACCAUCUUCCUUAGUAUCUUCUUGAUAUUUUUAUUGGCGGCUUCUACGGCUCCAUUGAUCUGAGGACUAUAUGACUGAACGCCUCUAAGACAGAAUCCGGGCUAGAAGCAACGCAUGCGCCCGCCGUCCGCUUGCCGACCCGCAGUAGGGUCCUCUGGCCCCCAAGGGCACGUGUUGUUGGCUAAGUCAUCGCGGUGGAAGAGCCGCGAUGGCCGCCUUGAAGUACAAUUUCCAUCGUGCGGCGGGUAGAAUCCUUUGCAGACGAAUUAAAUACGCGACGGGGUAUUGUAAGUGGCACAGUGGCCUUGCUGCCACGAUCCACUGAGAUUCAGCCCUUUGUCGCUCCGAUUC